AUCACGUUGAUACAUCGGGUCUCGUACGAUCGCCGAAGUUAAGCAACGUCCAGCUUGGUCAGUACCUGGAUGGUUGACCGCUUGCUAAUACCAGGUGUUGUAAA